rnacentral:rRNA from 1 species
UACGUAGGUGGCAAGCGUUGUCCGGAUUUACUGGGCGUAAAGGGCGCGCAGGCGGUCGAUCAAGUCGAGUGUGAAAGCCCCCGGCUCAACUGGGGAGGGUCAUUCGAUACUGAUCGACUCGAAGGCAGGAGAGGGUAGUGGAAUUCCCGGUGUAGUGGUGAAAUGCGUAGAUAUCGGGAGGAACACCAGUGGCGAAGGCGACUACCUGGCCUGUUCUUGACGCUGAGGCGCGAAAGCUAGGGGAGACAAG